rnacentral:rRNA from 1 species
UACGUAGGGGGCAAGCGUUGUCCGGAAUCAUUGGGCGUAAAGCGCGUGUAGGCGGCCAGAAAAGUCCGCUGUGAAAACUCGAGGCUCAACUUCGAGCUGUCGGUGGAAACUUUCUGGCUAGAGUCCGGAAGAGGAGAAUGGAAUUCCUGGUGUAGCGGUGAAAUGCGCAGAUAUCAGGAAGAACACCCGUGGCGAAGGCGGUUUUCUGGGACGGUACUGACGCUGAGACGCGAAAGCGUGGGGAGCGAACAGG